GAUGAACGCUGGCGGUAUGCUUAACACAUGCAAGUCGAACGGACUCUUCGGAGUUAGUGGCGGACGGGUGAGUAACGCGUGAGAAUCUGGCUUUGGGUUCGGGACAACCACUGGAAACGGUGGCUAAUACCGGAUGUGCCGAGAGGUAAAAGAGAAAUUGCCUGAAGAUGAGCUCGCGUCUGAUUAGCUAGUUGGUGAGGUAAAGGCUCACCAAGGCAGCGAUCAGUAGCUGGUCUGAGAGGAUGACCAGCCACACUGGGACUGAGACACGGCCCAGACUCCUACGGGAGGCAGCAGUGGGGAAUUUUCCGCAAUGGGCGAAAGCCUGACGGAGCAAUACCGCGUGAGGGAAGAAGGCUCUUGGGGUGUAAGCCUCUUUUCUUAGGGAAGAACAAAAUGACGGUACCUAAGGAAUCAGCAUCGGCUAACUCCGUG
rnacentral:rRNA from 1 species